UCCAGCUUUAUCUUAAACCUUGUUAGCAACAUAAGUCACCCCAGCAAUUACAAACCUAAGAGUGGCUCCCCUAGGAUGAUUCGAUCUGCUCCAACUAAAAAUUCCAAUCCACGUACUUUCUUUUGUUAUGGUUGGUCUGUGUAUGUUUAACGUACUUCUUCUAAGGCUUUUAAAAACAAACUAGUGAUUUCUCAUUCAGCUCUCUGCCACAGAAACAGAACCACUCUGAAACAUUUCUAUACAUAUAAAAAUGUUCUCGUAAACCAUAGGCUAUGUCUUAAGUCAGCUUCAGAUGACAGCAAAGAAAAAUAUUGUUGCCAUCAUUUUACAUUUUUCCUUUUUCUGUACUCUAACCGCUGUGUACCUGUGUCCCCAAAAUUUGCUUAUCACUUGCUGCUGCCUUCCAGUUUUGGACGGUGGGGGUGGGAAGGCGAGAAACUUGCCUGACUCCUGCGCUCUCUCAAACGUUGCUUUGACAACCAGCAGACUGCUUUAACCUGCUGGUGUCGAACUUUUAUCACUUUACAGACCCCAUAAAACAAACAGGGCUAGCAUAUGCCCUGAACAGCUUCCUUCAAAAUGUAGCUUGGCUGCAAUUCAUGGCAAAAAGCUGGAACAACCUGCCAGGUCUUGGAAGCGUUAAGAUUAAUUGCAUUGAAGUUGAUACAGAUAGUACAGCCCCUUGAAAAUGAAUCAUUUAUUAAUUCACUAUUUUCAAACUACAGUUACUCCCUCUCGGGGCAUGUAAUUAAUAUACUGAGUUAAAAAAAAAAAAGUCAUGACUACUCACACAGUCUUGAAGGUGCAAUGUCAGCUAUUUGGGACAGAGACAUCCAAGGCCGUGUUAGAACACAGUUACGACUACAUGUGCGUUAAAGCAGGAACCGCAGGCCUCUGGAUGACGGUAACUAUAGGACUCGGGCUUCUCGUACUUGGGGCUAUAAUUUAUGAAACUGAGCCCCAGAUCCAGCCAAUCAUUUAGCUCCUCAUAACAAGUCUAACUGGCUCUGGAAAGCUGAAAAGGGCUGCGCUGGAAUAACAAAGAUGAGAUAUUCCACACAAUAAUCUGCUUAUCCGGAAUCCCUUUCCCUCACAAGACCAAGGAAAAAUCACAGCUCCGUUGUCUGAGCGCAGGACAGAUGACCCAGGGAAACCCACCUACGCCUGCAGCAAGAGCUCCUCUGGCGUGGCAGGAGCAACGGUGCCAGCACUGAGGGACUGAGAGGCCCCGGAGCCGGAGGGCGGCGGCAGCAGCAGGAGCCUGAGAUAACUGACUGAAUUCAACGUGAGAUUUGACACCAAGAAGAAAGACAGCAGGACAGAGAGAACAGAAAAGGAAUCCACUGGCAAUUCCCUACCGAGGACAAAGACGGCCCCAAGUAAAUAGGAAGUUUUUAAGUGGUUGAGUCCACCAACUUCAGCACAAUAAAGAAGUGAAUGCCAAACCUGACUGGCUGCCGCGCCUGAGUCGUGGCCAGCCUCCCCUGAGGACGAUGACGGGCGCCCUCCACGUGGAUGGAGCCAGCUGUGCCUACGGACCACUUGGAUUCGCUCCUCACAAUAAACAGGAUGGCCCUU